rnacentral:rRNA from 1 species
UACGUAGGGCGCAAGCGUUGUCCGGAAUUAUUGGGCGUAAAGAGCUCGUAGGCGGUUUGUCGCGUCUGCUGUGAAAUCCCGAGGCUCAACCUCGGGCCUGCAGUGGGUACGGGCAGACUUGAGUGCGGUAGGGGAGAAUGGAAUUCCUGGUGUAGCGGUGGAAUGCGCAGAUAUCAGGAGGAACACCGAUGGCGAAGGCAGUUCUCUGGGCCGUAACUGACGCUGAGGCUCGAAAGCGUGGGGAGCAAACAGG